AUGUGUUUUGAAGUAUGCCAUGCCAUCUUUCCAGUGAUUCAUGCCAUGCCUUGUUUUGCCAUGUUAAGUUCCUGUAGCAUGUUGAUUUCGUGCUCUGGACAUUGCUACCUGAUGUUAUUUCUGCCAUGUCCAGUAAUUCUGCUAAGUCUGUGA
rnacentral:rRNA from 1 species